UACGUAGGGGGCGAGCGUUGUCCGGAUUCAUUGGGCGUAAAGCGCGGGCAGGCGGCCCGCUCAGUCGGCCGUGAAAGCGCCGGGCUCAACUCGGCGCGGUCGGGGCGAUACUGGCGGGCUGGAGGCUGGUAGAGGGCGGUGGAAUUCCGGGUGUAGUGGUGGAAUGCGUAGAGCUCCGGAGGAACACCUGUGGCGAAAGCGGCUCACUGGACCAUUACUGACGCUGAGGCACGAAAGCUAGGGGAGCAAACAGG
rnacentral:rRNA from 1 species